UUUGAACCGCAUGGUUCAAAAGUGAAAGACGGUCUUGCUGUCACUUAUAGAUGGAUCCGCGCUGCAUUAGCUAGUUGGUAAGGUAACGGCUUACCAAGGCAACGAUGCAUAGCCGACCUGAGAGGGUGAUCGGCCACACUGGAACUGAGACACGGUCCAGACUCCUACGGGAGGCAGCAGUAGGGAAUCUUCCGCAAUGGGCGAAAGCCUGACGGAGCAACGCCGCGUGAGUGAUGAAGGUCUUCGGAUCGUAAAACUCUGUUAUUAGGGAAGAACAUAUGUGUAAGUAACUGUGCACAUCUUGACGGUACCUAAUCAGAAAGCCACGGCUAACUACGUGCCAGCAGCCGCGGUAAUACGUAGGUGGCAAGCGUUAUCCGGAAUUAUUGGGCGUAAAGCGCGCGUAGGCGGUUUUUUAAGUCUGAUGUGAAAGCCCACGGCUCAACCGUGGAGGGUCAUUGGAAACUGGAAAACUUGAGUGCAGAAGAGGAAAGUGGAAUUCCAUGUGUAGCGGUGAAAUGCGCAGAGAUAUGGAGGAACACCAGUGGCGAAGGCGACUUUCUGGUCUGUAACUGACGCUGAUGUGCGAAAGCGUGGGGAUCAAACAGGAUUAGAUACCCUGGUAGUCCACGCCGUAAACGA
rnacentral:rRNA from 1 species